UGCCGCAUAGAGGCAAUAGGGAGAAGGGUGACAUCCGCUAUUGCUUGCAAUGGCAAUUCUAGUUAUGGCACCCUCAACGGAGUUGGGGUGACAUAUUGUUAUUCUACGUUUCUUUUUUUUCUUAUUUUUCUUCCACACAUUUUGUCCGCGCGAGUUCUCAGAAUUGAACAGACCAAUGUUUAUGGAACUGAACAAUAAUGAGGAACCCCAUUUGAAGUUGUGCACCUUACUAUGGAAUGGUAAAAGAUGGCCGCCGUUUCCAUGGAAACAGCACAAAUGCGAAAAAAAUCAAAGUGGUCCAAACUGG
rnacentral:lncRNA from 1 species